UGAGGAAUAUUGGUUAAUGGGCGAGAGCCUGAACCAGCCACGUCGCGUGAAGGAAGACUGACCUUACGGUUUGUAAACUUCUCUUGUAGAGGGGUAAUGGCAGAUACGUGUAUUUGCGUGAAAGUACUCUACGAAUAAGCAUCGGCUAACUCCGUUCCAGCAGCCGCGGUAAUACGGGGGAUGCGAGCGUUACCCGGAAUUAUUGGGUUUAAAGGGUGCGCAGGUGGCUAAUCAGGUCAGUGGUGAAAAGCUAUGGCUCAACCAUGGUCUUGCCAUUGAAACCGUAUAGCUAGAGAGGAGACGAGGUAGGCGGAAUGUGUGGUGUAGCGGUGAUAUGCAUAGAUAUCACACAGAACUCCGAUUGCGAAGGCAGCUUACCAGGCUUUAUCUGACACUUAGGCACGACAGCGUGGGGAUCAAACAGG
rnacentral:rRNA from 1 species